UACGUAGGGGGCCAGCGUUGUCCGGAUUUAUUGGGCGUAAAGAGCGUGUAGGCGGCCAGGUAGGUCUGGUGUGAAAACUCGAGGCUCAACCUCGAGAUGUCAUCGGAAACCAUCUGGCUAGAGUCCGGAAGAGGAGAGUGGAAUUCCUGGUGUAGCGGUGAAAUGCGCAGAUAUCAGGAGGAACACCGGUGGCGAAGGCGGAUCUCUGGGCCUUACCUGACGCUCAGGCGCGAAAGCUAGGGGAGCGAACAGG
rnacentral:rRNA from 1 species